GGGGAUUUGGCUCAGUGGUAGAGCGCUUGCCUAGGAAGCACAAGGUCCUGGGUUCGGUCCCCAGCCCCG
rfam:Rattus norvegicus chromosome 3, whole genome shotgun sequence.